GAUGAACGCUGGCGGCGUGCCUAAUACAUGCAAGUCGAGCGAACAGAUAAGGAGCUUGCUCCUUUGACGUUAGCGGCGGACGGGUGAGUAACACGUGGGUAACCUACCUAUAAGACUGGGAUAACUUCGGGAAACCGGAGCUAAUACCGGAUAAUAUUUCGAACCGCAUGGUUCGAUAGUGAAAGAUGGUUUUGCUAUCACUUAUAGAUGGACCCGCGCCGUAUUAGCUAGUUGGUAAGGUAACGGCUUACCAAGGCGACGAUACGUAGCCGACCUGAGAGGGUGAUCGGCCACACUGGAACUGAGACCCGGUCCAGACCCCUACGGGAGGCAGCAGGAGGGAAUCUUCCGCAAUGGGCGAAAGCCUGACGGAGCAACGCCGCGUGAGUGAUGAAGGGCUUCGGAUCGUAAAACUCUGUUAUUAGGGAAGAACAUACGUGUAAGUAACUGUGCACGUCUUGACGGUACCUAAUCAGAAAGCCACGGCUAACUACGU
rnacentral:rRNA from 1 species